rnacentral:rRNA from 1 species
GAUGAACGCUAGCGGGAGGCUUAACACAUGCAAGUCGAGGGGCAUCACGAGGUAGCAAUACUUUGGUGGCGACCGGCGCACGGGUGAGUAACGCGUAUGCAACCUACCCUGUACAGGGGGAUAGCCCGGAGAAAUUAGGAUUAAUACCCCAUAAUGAUAUUUUAUGGCAUCAUAAAAUAUUUAAAGCUCAGGCGGUAAGGGAUGGGCAUGCGUAACAUUAGCUAGUUGGUAGGGUAAUGGGCUACACAGGCGACGAUGUUUAGGGGUCCUGAGAGGGUGAUCCCCCACACUGGUACUGAGACACGGACCAGACUCCUACGGGAGGCAGCAGUGAGGAAUAUUGGUCAAUGGGCGCGAGCCUGAACCAGCCAUCCCGCGUGGAGGAAGACUGCCCUAUGGGUUGUAAACUUCUUUUCCAGGGGAAUAAAAUCUCGAACGAGUUCGGGACUGAAGGUACCCUGGGAAUAAGCAUCGGCUAACUCCGUGCCAGCCGCCGCAGUAA